UACUCUUUUAUAUAGAUAUAGGAAGAUGUGGUGUGAGUGCCAAUGAGACAACUCUCCAUCCAAAUAACAAUUUAAAAAAUAAACCAUUAUAGGUUAAAGUACAGCCUUCAACACGGAGCCUUGGCUCACACCGAACAACAAGCUAUAAAGGGCCCCAAAAUUACUAGUGUAAAACCAUUCAAAGGGAAAACCAACGGUCUAAUCUAUAUAAACAAAAC
rnacentral:lncRNA from 1 species